rnacentral:rRNA from 1 species
CCUACGGGGGGCAGCAGUGAGGAAUAUUGGUCAAUGGGCGUAAGCCUGAACCAGCCAAGUCGCGUGAGGGAUUAAGGCCCUACGGGUCGUAAACCUCUUUUGCCGGGGAGCAGAGGUCCUGACGUGUCCGGGCCGGGAGAGUACCCGGAGAAAAAGCAUCGGCUAACUCCGUGCCAGCAGCCGCGGUAAUACGGAGGAUGCGAGCGUUAUCCGGAUUUGUUGGGUUAAAAGGGUGCGUAGGCGGGCAUUUAAGCCGGCGGUCAAAUGUCGGGGCUCAACCCCGGCCUGCCGUCGGAACUGGGUGCCUUGAGUGGGCGAGAAGUAUGCGGAAUGCGUGGUGUAGCGGUGAAAUGCAUAGAUAUCACGCAGAACCCCGAUUGCGAAGGCAGCAUACCGGAGCCCUACUGACGCUGAGGCACGAAAGUGCGGGUAUCGAACAGGAUUAGAUACCCUAGUAGUC